CGCAUCUUGCGCUCCCGGGUCAUUCCUGGGAGCAUGCUUGUUUGAGUGUCGCGUACCUUCUCAACCCCGCCCUUUUAACCGAGGGCAGCAGGGCUUGGAUCAUGGCGCCUUGUCGCUCUGGCCUCUAUCUGGUCGAGGGACUGCGCUGAAAAGCAAAAAGCUGAAUCCUUAACUUGGCGGCUUGACCUGUUGUCGUAAGUCUUAUACUUUCAAUGGGGACGCUGGUUGGAACGGGCUUGCCACAAAGCGACCUUUCGAGGACGCAUUCUUGACACUUUGACCUCAAAUCAAGUAGGACUACCCGCUGAACUUAA
rnacentral:misc_RNA from 1 species